rnacentral:rRNA from 1 species
AGAGUUUGAUCAUGGCUCAGAUUGAACGCUGGCGGCAGGCCUAACACAUGCAAGUCGAGCGGUAGCACAGGAGAGCUUGCUCUCCGGGUGACGAGCGGCGGACGGGUGAGUAAUGUCUGGGAAACUGCCUGAUGGAGGGGGAUAACUACUGGAAACGGUAGCUAAUACCGCAUAACGUCUUCGGACCAAAGUGGGGGACCUUCGGGCCUCACGCCAUCAGAUGUGCCCAGAUGGGAUUAGCUAGUAGGUGGGGUAAUGGCUCACCUAGGCGACGAUCCCUAGCUGGUCUGAGAGGAUGACCAGCCACACUGGAACUGAGACACGGUCCAGACUCCUACGGGACGCAGCAG